rnacentral:rRNA from 1 species
CCCUUCGGGGUGUGACUGCGUACCUUUUGUAUAAUGGGUCAGCGACUUAUAUUCUGUAGCAAGGUUAACCGUAUAGGGGAGCCGGAGGGAAACCGAGUCUUAAUUGGGCGUUAAGUUGCAGGGUAUAGACCCGAAACCCGGUGAUCUAGCCAUGGGCAGGUUGAAGGUUGGGUAACACUAACUGGAGGACCGAACCGACUAAUGUUGAAAAAUUAGCGGAUGACCUGUGGCUGGGGGUGAAAGGCCAAUCAAACCGGGAGAUAGCUGGUUCUCCCCGAAAGCUAUUUAGGUAGCGCCUCGUGAAUUCAUCUCCGGGGGUAGAGCACUGUUUCGGCUAGGGGGCCAUCCCGGCUUACCAACCCGAUGCAAACUGCGAAUACCGGAGAAUGUUAUCACGGGAGACACACGGCGGGUGCUAACGUCCGUCGUGAAGAGGGAAACAACCCAGACCGCCAGCUAAGGUCCCAAAGUCAUGGUUAAGUGGGAAACGAUGUGGGAAGGCCCAGACAGCCAGGAUGUUGGCUUAGAAGCAGCCAUCAUUUAAAGAAAGCGUAAUAGCUCACUGGUCGAGUCGGCCUGCGCGGAAGAUGUAACGGGGCUAAACCAUGCACCGAAGCUGCGGCAGCGAACGUAUCACCCAAGACAACUUUACGGAGUUGACGAUUGACGGAGCGAAGCGACGUCAAAGCGUUCAUUAAAGUCGAGUUGGCUUAGGGAUACGUUCGUUGGGUAGGGGAGCGUUCUGUAAGCCUGUGAAGGUGUGUCGUGAGGCAUGCUGGAGGUAUCAGAAGUGCGAAUGCUGACAUAAGUAACGAUAAAGCGGGUGAAAAGCCCGCUCGCCGGAAGACCAAGGGUUCCUGUCCAACGUUAAUCGGGGCAGGGUGAGUCGACCCCUAAGGCGAGGCCGAAAGGCGUAGUCGAUGGGAAACGGGUUAAUAUUCCCGUACUUGGUGUUACUGCGAAGGGGGGACGGAGAAGGCUAUGUUGGCCGGGCGACGGUUGUCCCGGUUUAAGCGUGUAGGUGUGUGUUCCAGGUAAAUCCGGUUCACUUUAACACUGAGGCGUGACGACGAGGCACUACGGUGCUGAAGCAACAAAUGCCCUGCUUCCAGGAAAAGCCUCUAAGCAUCAGGUAACACGAAAUCGUACCCCAAACCGACACAGGUGGUCAGGUAGAGAAUACCAAGGCGCUUGAGAGAACUCGGGUGAAGGAACUAGGCAAAAUGGUGCCGUAACUUCGGGAGAAGGCACGCUGACACGUAGGUGAAGUGAUUUACUCAUGGAGCUGAAGUCAGUCGAAGAUACCAGCUGGCUGCAACUGUUUAUUAAAAACACAGCACUGUGCAAACACGAAAGUGGACGUAUACGGUGUGACGCCUGCCCGGUGCCGGAAGGUUAAUUGAUGGGGUCAGCGCAAGCGAAGCUCCUGAUCGAAGCCCCGGUAAACGGCGGCCGUAACUAUAACGGUCCUAAGGUAGCGAAAUUCCUUGUCGGGUAAGUUCCGACCUGCACGAAUGGCGUAAUGAUGGCCAGGCUGUCUCCACCCGAGACUCAGUGAAAUUGAACUCGCUGUGAAGAUGCAGUGUACCCGCGGCAAGACGGAAAGACCCCGUGAACCUUUACUAUAGCUUGACACUGAACAUUGAGCCUUGAUGUGUAGGAUAGGUGGGAGGCUUUGAAGUGUGGACGCCAGUCUGCAUGGAGCCGACCUUGAAAUACCACCCUUUAAUGUUUGAUGUUCUAACGUGGACCCGUAAUCCGGGUUGCGGACAGUGUCUGGUGGGUAGUUUGACUGGGGCGGUCUCCUCCUAAAGAGUAACGGAGGAGCACGAAGGUUGGCUAAUCCUGGUCGGACAUCAGGAGGUUAGUGCAAUGGCAUAAGCCAGCUUGACUGCGAGCGUGACGGCGCGAGCAGGUGCGAAAGCAGGUCAUAGUGAUCCGGUGGUUCUGAAUGGAAGGGCCAUCGCUCAACGGAUAAAAGGUACUCCGGGGAUAACAGGCUGAUACCGCCCAAGAGUUCAUAUCGACGGCGGUGUUUGGCACCUCGAUGUCGGCUCAUCACAUCCUGGGGCUGAAGUAGGUCCCAAGGGUAUGGCUGUUCGCCAUUUAAAGUGGUACGCGAGCUGGGUUUAGAACGUCGUGAGACAGUUCGGUCCCUAUCUGCCGUGGGCGCUGGAGAACUGAGGGGGGCUGCUCCUAGUACGAGAGGACCGGAGUGGACGCAUCACUGGUGUUCGGGUUGUCAUGCCAAUGGCACUGCCCGGUAGCUAAAUGCGGAAGAGAUAAGUGCUGAAAGCAUCUAAGCACGAAACUUGCCCCGAGAUGAGUUCUCCCUGAGACUUAGAGUCUCCUGAAGGAACGUUGAAGACGACGACGUUGAUAGGCCGGGUGUGUAAGCGCAGCGAUGCGUUGAGCUAACCGGUACUAAUGAACCGUGAGGCUUAACCUUACA